AUUGAACGCUGGCGGCAUGCCUAACACAUGCAAGUCGAACGAGUGGCGGACGGGUGAGUAAUGUAUCGGAACCUACCCAAUGAAGGGGGAUAACUGCUGUAACCGGUAGCUAAUACCGCGUACCAUUCGAUGGGCCUAUAUUGGAUUAGCUAGUAGGUGGGGUAACGGCUCACCAAGGCGACGAUCCCUAGCGGGUCUGAGAGGAUGAUCAGCCAAACUGGAACUGAGACACGGUCCAGACUCCUACGGGAGGCAGCAGUGGGUAAUCUUGGACAAUGGGCUCAAGCCUGAUGCAGCCAUGCCGCGUGUGUGAAGAAGGCCUUCGGGUUGUAAAGUACUUUUGGCAGGGAGGCGGUACCUGAAGAAGAAGCACCGGCUAACUACGUGCCAGCAGCCGCGGUAAUUC
rnacentral:rRNA from 1 species